CAGGACUCUCCUCAACCUGGUCUAACCCUAGUGUGUUUAUUUGUCCAGGACUCUCCUCAACCUGGUCUAAUCCUAGUGUGUUUAUUUGUCCAGGACUCUCCUCAACCUGGUCUAACCCUAGUGUGUUUAUUUGUCCAGGACUCUCCUCAACCUGGUCUAACCCUAGUGUGUUUAUUUGUCCAGGACUCUCCUCAACCUGGUCUAACCCUAGUGUGUUUAUUUGUCCAGGACUCUCCUCAACCUGGUCUAAUCCUAGUGUGUUUAUUUGUCCAGGACUCUCCUCAACCUGGUCUAAUCCUAGUGUGUUUAUUUGUCCAGGACUCUCCUCAACCUGGUCUAAUCCUAGUGUGUUUAUUUGUCCAGGACUCUCCUCAAACUGGUCUAAUGCUAGUGUGUUUAUUUGUCCAGGACUCUCCUCAACCUGGUCUAAUGCUAGUGUGUUUAUUUGUCCAGGACUCUCCUCAACCUGGUCUAAUGCUAGUGUGUUUAUUUGUCCAGGACUCUCCUCAACCUGGUCUAAUGCUAGUGUGUUUAUUUGUCCAGGACUCUCCUCAACCUGGUCUAAUCCUAGUGUGUUUAUUUGUCCAGGACUCCCCUCAACAGGAGGAAAAAAAGAAGCAACAACAAAAUAUGAUUGAGUCCACAAGCAGGCAGUCUAGCCAGCAGACAUAUGGGUCUGUCUCGUCCCAGAAGGAGCCCAGUGAACUGAGGAGAGGGCGAGCGAGAGAGGCAGCUCUAGCCCCAAACCUCUGGGUUCUACUCUACUCCACUCCCUUUGAGGUCUGACCUCCAGUCCACCAGCCUGAACCUAGAACACCCGGAACUCAGAACCCCACCCGUUGGAACCCUGACGUGGAACCCCAGUGGAUGGUGGCAGAGCCUGAGAGCCCAAAUGGCACCCUAAUCCCUAUAUAUUAGACUACUUAUCACCAGGGCUUUACGUUUGACCAGAGCCCUGGUCAUAAGUAGUGCACUACAUAGGAAAUAGGGUGCCAUUUGGGACAUAGAGGGUAUUUUAUGUUUUAACUACCCCUCCUGCCUCAGAGGAACUUUUUAAAGUGUUGUAUUGUGUUUUAACUGAAAAGCCAUUUUGCAUGCUCUAAGUUGAUUUUUAUUUUUUAAAUCUUAUUUUAAAAGUGAUUAUUUGUUAGAUUUGUCUCGGACAAUGACGUCCUCCCAAACACCCCUCUCUCUUCCACUUUGUCUAGUCAAAUCCAGUUUGAGCCAGGCUGUGCGUUUGUCUGCUCAUCUCUGUACGUGUGUGGAAAUAAAGGGUGAAUCUGUAUUCAGAGGUGGAGGAACGGCCCUGAAACAACAGAUGGGUUCUUUAGAUUAUAAUGGACAGUUUUAUAUUACAUUGUCUCCUCCAUGCCAGAGUCUCCAAACAUGGUAGCUAGCUAAAGAUGAAUUCCAUUCUGCUUCUGCCUGCUCCCUCUGAACAGGUGCAGAAUAUAUGGCUCUGUAUUGGGUUACUAGAAUCCAACCCCCAUGUGUGUAGAUCUGAGAGGACUGGAUAGAUAUAAGCAAUAUGGUAAAACAUUAAAUGACAACCUAAGUCUAUCAGAGGGGAGGGUGUGACACCAUAUUGCCUAUAUACCGAACCACUUGUCCUUUAUGAUCUACACCAGGGGUUUGGGUUGAUUUUGGGGUGCAGGGAAAAACCGGGAACAUGUUUUUUGUUUUUACGUUGCCUUUUUGUGGCCACGGUGCCUCUGAUUGGUGGGCCUGGUAGCUGUAAUGUCAGAUUCUGUCCGCUCUGGUCUGGGAUGCUCGUGUUCUGAGACCUGCUUUAUAAAUAAACUUUCUUUACAAAAAAAGAAACAUGCCAUUUUCAUUUAAUGUCCUGAAGAUGUUAAGUGUAUUUUUCUACCGUUGAAGUUUAGAAGAAGAUAACAUUACACAAUGAUCAGAGGUUAAAGGAAAAUUCCACCUAAAAAAACAUAUUUUGGUAUUUGCUUCAUUAGUCCAUUCAACAAUCAAGUUUUUAAGAUGUAUAACUUUCAAAAUCCAGAAAUCAUCCCUGUAUGAUGCAUUUUUCUUACCAUUUGGCUACAUCAUAAGAUGCAAAACGCAUUAUACAGGGAUGAUUUUUGUAUUUUGAAAGUUACAUAUCUUAAACUUGAUUUACUGACAAGCUAAACAUUUUUUAUUUAUUUUUCACUCAUCCAAAGAUAUGAAGUUUCUUUAAAAAUAUUUAUCCAAUGCCUGCUAUGUUUUUGGACGACACGGUGAUGUCAUCGCUGCUUCCUGUGCUCCUACCAGUGUUGCCAUGUUUGCAGUUUUCAUGCCAUAUUGGGCUACUUUGAAAAUGAUGUCGCGGGUUAAAAUGUAUUGGUCGCUUGUUGUUGGCUAUUUCUAAGUUACGCCGCGGUCGCCAUGACAUUUCUCUUAAAAUAUAUAUUAUUUCACUGUGACGUGUGUGAGUGAGAGAGAGAGAGAGUGAGAGAGAGAGUGAGGGAGAGAGAGAGAGAGAGAGAGACCAAACACUGGAAAACUAUUUUGGUCCCACUACAGAGCAUUACAUAAAUCCUCUCAGUUGGUGGUUUAUACUGCAUUCUGAUGUUGACUGCUUAAAGAAAAAUGGUAUCAAGGGAAGUGCUUUAUGCAUGUUCAGUUCUUGGGGGGGGGGGGGGGCUGCCUGAGGGGAAAUCUGAAAUGGAAGUUGGGUAGCCUUGUAUUAUUAUGAACGCAUUAGAUUGAUGUAACAGUCAGAUUAGGCUACAGGUAAAACAAAUUCUACUAAAUAAACACUGGCUGUGGUUGACAAACAUUCAGUCCAUAUACAUAUUAUUAACAUUUCAUUCCUCAGUAGUCUAUCCCAGCAGGCUAUUGGGGGAAACAAGCACUUCUAAUAAACCCAGAUUUGAGUCUGUAGCCUAUGCCUAUUGAAAAGUGAAGUCAAUCUCGCAAAUGUGCCAUUUUUAUAAGGGGUUGUCGUAACAGCACAAUGGCCAGAAAAUAGCCUAACAUUUUUUUUUUUUUUAAUGUUCAUCCAAGUUUUUAUUGCUCUGAUUUUGAGAUCCUCUGUCCAAUUUUCAUCAGUCAAAGUCUUGUCAUAUUUAUCUAUCGUUAUGCACAUGCGCAAAGGGGAUUUAUUUACAAUUACAAACCUGGUUCGAGCCCUGAAUGCUGAUUGGCUGAAAGGUAUGACGAAACGUUAGUUUUUAUUGUACUAAUUACGCUGGUAACCAGUUUAGAAAUAAGCAAUAAGGCACCUCGGGGCUUUCGGUAUAUUGCCAACAUACUACGGCUAACGGCUGUAUCCAGGCACUCCGCGAUGCUGUUCUUAAUACCGACGCCCUUAGCCGUGGUAUAUUGGCCAUAUACCAAACCCCCUUGUGCCUUAUUGCUUAAUCAUAGCAGUCAAGCGAGUUAAAUCAACGUCCAUUGAUGGAAAAGGAUCUGGCUUGUUAAUAAGGGACGAUUAUCUUGUCACAUAUUUAAAUUCCUUUACGUAAUUUGUGUUUUUAUUUAACCUUUAACCUUUUUUUAACUAGGCAAGUCAGUUAAAAACGAAUUCUUAUUUACAAUGACGGCCUACAUAUGUCAUAGCUUGCAAUUCUUAUUUUGAGGAAACCCGAAUUUUGCUUCUAACGACGUUACAAGUUACCAUGAUUUUUAUUUAUUUAUUUUUAUUUCACCUUUAUUUAACCAGGUAGGCAAGUUGAGAACAAGUUCUCAUUUACAAUUGCGACCUGGCCAAGAUAAAGCAAAGCAGUUUGACACAUACAACAACACAGAGUUAGACAUGGAGUAAAACAAAC
rnacentral:lncRNA from 8 species